rnacentral:misc_RNA from 1 species
GAUGAAGAACGUAGCGAAAUGCGAUAAGUAAUGUGAAUCGCAGAAUUCAGUGAAUCAUCGAAUCUUUGAACGCACAUUGCGCCCCUUGGUAUUCCGAGGGGCAUGCCUGUUCGAGCGUCAUUUCAACCCUCAAGCACAGCUUGGUCUUGGGCUUCGCCGCUAACCCGGCGGGUCUUAAAAUCAGUGGCGGUGCCGUCGGGCCCUGAGCGCAGUAAUCUCUCUCGCUAUAGGGUCCCGGCGGAUGCUGGCCAGUAACCCCCAAUUUUCUAUGGUUGACCUCGGAUCAGGUAGGGAUACCCGCUGAACUUAAGCAUAUCAAUAAGCGGAGGA